UACGAAGGGGGCUAGCGUUGCUCGGAAUCACUGGGCGUAAAGCGCACGCAGGCGGCUUCUUAAGUCAGGGGUGAAAUCCUGGAGCUCAACUCCAGAACUGCCUUUGAUACUGAGGAGCUCGAGUCCGGAAGAGGUGAGUGGAACUGCGAGUGUAGAGGUGAAAUUCGUAGAUAUUCGCAAGAACACCAGUGGCGAAGGCGGCUCACUGGUCCGGGACUGACGCUGAGGUGCGAAAGCGUGGGGAGCAAACAGG
rnacentral:rRNA from 1 species